AUAGGGGAGCCGGAGGGAAACCGAGUCUUAACCGGGCGUUAAGUUGCAGGGUAUAGACCCGAAACCCGGUGAUCUAGCCAUGGGCAGGUUGAAGGUUGGGUAACACUAACUGGAGGACCGAACCGACUAAUGUUGAAAAAUUAGCGGAUGACCUGUGGCUGGGGGUGAAAGGCCAAUCAAACCGGGAGAUAGCUGGUUCUCCCCGAAAGCUAUUUAGGUAGCGCCUCGUGAAUUCAUCUCCGGGGGUAGAGCACUGUUUCGGCUAGGGGGCCAUCCCGGCUUACCAACCCGAUGCAAACUGCGAAUACCGGAGAAUGUUAUCACGGGAGACACACGGCGGGUGCUAACGUCCGUCGUGAAGAGGGAAACAACCCAGACCGCCAGCUAAGGUCCCAAAGUCAUGGUUAAGUGGGAAACGAUGUGGGAAGGCCCAGACAGCCAGGAUGUUGGCUUAGAAGCAGCCAUCAUUUAAAGAAAGCGUAAUAGCUCACUGGUCGAGUCGGCCUGCGCGGAAGAUGUAACGGGGCUAAACCAUGCACCGAAGCUGCGGCAGCGACGCUUAUGCGUUGUUGGGUAGGGGAGCGUUCUGUAAGCCUGUGAAGGUGUGUCGUGAGGCAUGCUGGAGGUAUCAGAAGUGCGAAUGCUGA
rnacentral:rRNA from 1 species